rnacentral:rRNA from 1 species
GUACACUCCUACGGGAGGCAGCAGUGGGGAAUAUUGGACAAUGGGCGCAAGCCUGAUCCAGCCAUGCCGCGUGAGUGAUGAAGGCCCUAGGGUUGUAAAGCUCUUUCACCGGUGAAGAUAAUGACGGUAACCGGAGAAGAAGCCCCGGCUAACUUCGUGCCAGCAGCCGCGGUAAUACGAAGGGGGCUAGCGUUGUUCGGAUUUACUGGGCGUAAAGCGCACGUAGGCGGACUAUUAAGUCAGGGGUGAAAUCCCGGGGCUCAACCCCGGAACUGCCUUUGAUACUGGUAGUCUUGAGUUCGAGAGAGGUGAGUGGAAUUCCGAGUGUAGAGGUGAAAUUCGUAGAUAUUCGGAGGAACACCAGUGGCGAAGGCGGCUCACUGGCUCGAUACUGACGCUGAGGUGCGAAAGCGUGGGGAGCAAACAGGAUGAGAAACCCGAGUAGUCCC